UCAAACUCCAUCAUGGCAGCACAUUGGGAUGCACCAUUUCUCUGACAAAACCAUUAAGAACAGAUACAAGUUGUUGCAAAAUCAGGGAAAAUAAAAA